rnacentral:tRNA from 1 species
GCAGGCGUCGCCAAGUGGUUAAGGCCUCGGAUUGUGGUUCCGAUAUGCGGGGGUUCGAGUCCCCUCGUCUGCCCCA